UACGGAGGGUGCAAGCGUUAAUCGGAAUUACUGGGCGUAAAGCGCACGCAGGCGGUCUGUCAAGUCGGAUGUGAAAUCCCCGGGCUUAACUUGGGAAUUGCAUUCGAUACUGGGAAGCUAGAGUAUGGGAGAGGAUGGUAGAAUUCCAGGUGUAGCGGUGAAAUGCGUAGAGAUCUGGAGGAAUACCGGUGGCGAAGGCGGCCCCCUGGACAAAGACUGACGCUCAGGUGCGAAAGCCAGGGGAGCGAACGGG
rnacentral:misc_RNA from 1 species